rnacentral:rRNA from 1 species
UACAGAGGUGGCUAGCGUUGUUCGGAAUUACUGGGCGUAAAGGGAGCGCAGGCGGCUAAACAAGUCUGGAGUGCAAGCCCGGGGCUCAACCCCGGAAUUGCUUUGGAUACUGUUUGGCUUGAGUACGUCAGAGGUGAGCGGAAUUCCAGGUGUAGCGGUGAAAUGCGUAGAUAUCUGGAGGAACAUCCGUGGCGAAAGCGGCUCACUGGGACGACACUGACGCUGAGGCUCGAAAGCGUGGGGAGCGAAC